CCUACGGGUGGCUGCAGUGAGGAAUAUUGGUCAAUGGACGGAACUCUGAACCAGCCAAGCCGCGUGCAGGAAGACGGCUCUAUGAGUUGUAAACUGCUUUUAUACGGGGGUAAACCUGAAUACGUGUAUCCAGUUGAAAGUACUGUACGAAUAAGGAUCGGCUAAUUCCGUGCCAGCAGCCGCGGUAAUACGGAGGAUCCAAGCGUUAUCCGGAUUUAUUGGGUUUAAAGGGUGCGUAGGCGGGCCUUUAAGCCGGUGGUCAAAUGCCGGGGCUAAACCCGGGCCUGCAGCCGGAACUGGGUGGCUUGAGGGGGCCAGAGGUAUGCGGAAUGCGUGGUGUAGCGGUGAAAUGCGUAGAUAUCACGAAGAACCCCGAUUGCGAAGGCAGCCUACCGGAGCGUUACUGACGCUGAGGCACGAAGGUGCGGGUAUCGAACAGGAUUAGAUACCCGGGUAGUC
rnacentral:rRNA from 1 species